GUACUUGUAAAAAGGCGAGCUAGUUUGCAUCUCCCUCUAAGAGGAUGUAAUCAACCUUUGGAAUUUACCUGUUACCACACAUAAAUUUAAGGCAUUCCAACUCAGUGGGACAUGCAAAGAAUGUGGUCU